UACGUAGGUGGCAAGCGUUGUUCGGAAUUAUUGGGCGUAAAGGGCGCGUAGGCGGUUUGUUAAGUCGGCUGUGAAAGCCCGGGGCUCAACCCCGGAGGGUCAGCCGAUACUGGCAGACUAGAGUACGGAAGAGGUAGCUGGAAUUCCCGGUGUAGCGGUGAAAUGCGCAGAUAUCGGGAGGAACACCGGUGGCGAAGGCGGUUCUCUGGGCCUUACCUGACGCUGAGGAGCGAAAGCGUGGGGAGCGAACAGG
rnacentral:rRNA from 1 species